rnacentral:rRNA from 1 species
CAGCCGCCGCGGUAAUACGAAGGGUGCAAGCGUUACUCGGAAUUACUGGGCGUAAAGCGUGCGUAGGUGGUGGUUUAAGUCCGUUGUGAAAGCCCUGGGCUCAACCUGGGAAUUGCAGUGGAUACUGGGUCACUAGAGUGUGGUAGAGGAUAGUGGAAUUUCCGGUGUAGCAGUGAAAUGCGUAGAGAUCGGAAGGAACAUCUGUGGCGAAGGCGAUUAUCUGGGCCAACACUGACACUGAGGCACGAAAGCGUGGGGAGCAAACAGGAUUAGAUACCCCCGUAGUCCCUGUCUCUUAUAA